UGGGAGGAAAGCAGGGGAUCGCAAGACCUUGCGCUUUUGGAGUGGCCGAUGCCUGAUUAGCUAGUUGGUGGGGUAAUGGCCUACCAAGGCGACGAUCAGUAGUUGGUCUGAGAGGACGACCAGCCACACUGGGACUGAGACACGGCCCAGACUCCUACGGGAGGCAGCAGUGGGGAAUUUUGGACAAUGGGCGAAAGCCUGAUCCAGCAAUGCCGCGUGAGUGAAGAAGGCCUUCGGGUUGUAAGGCUCUUUCAGUCGAGAAGAAAAGGUUGUGACUAAUAAUCACAACUCAUGACGGUAUCGACAGAAGAAGCACCGGCUAACUACGUGCCAGCAGCCGCGGUAAUACGUAGGGUGCGAGCGUUAAUCGGAAUUACUGGGCGUAAAGGGUGCGCAGGCGGCUUUGUAAGUCAGAUGUGA
rnacentral:rRNA from 1 species